AAGGCAUAGGUAAUUUAUACAAAUGAAAUUAGCUCAAAUCAAAAAUUGCAUUUUAAGUAGAAAUUCAAACCCAAGCCUGCCUUGGAAAAAACUAAGCUAUUAAUUUUCAAGCUCAAUCAGGCUUGGACUGAAGAUGCGAGGAUGGGCCUGUUGAGUUAAAAGAGUUAUUCAAAUUUAUGAAUAUUGAAUAGUAAACUUUUGUCAAAACUUAAUUCCAGGUUUUGAGAUUUCCUCAUCGUCUCCAUUCUUCAUGCAGAUUUUUGUGUUUUGGACACUGCAACAAAAAGCCUCUUCCGCAUAUACAGAUACAACAUUGUACCAUUUUACUUGACAAAAACCUUCUCUGAAUCAUUGAUACUUGUACAGAAACCUGUAAAUUUCACUGGGUCAAAUAUUCCUAGAAUUAACCCCAGAUGAACGAAUCAACCAAAAGUAUUCAAGUUCAUUCACUAACAAUUUUCAACUUAAAACAUUCAAAAAAUUGUUGUUCUCAUUAGCUGUUUAUUGUUUCUGCAAUUACUUGAUGACAACCAAAUGGUUUAUUUUAUAUUUAUUCUCCCUUCUGUCUCCUCUGAAAUUCAUAGUGAUUUUUCCUAGCAAAUUUUCCACCGUUCGCCAUUCCAUAAUGUUUCCCUCCUGACCAAGCAACUCCUUGAUCUGAAAUUAUGACUAUUUUACAGCUUCUCUGAACAGUCUUUCACCUUCAUGUCCCUUUAUGGUUUAAACAUUUCAACAUUCAUUUUGUUCCUCCUAGAUAACUACUUUCCUAAUAUGCAACAUGGUCAUCUAGCCUUUUUCCAACUCUUUGGG
rnacentral:lncRNA from 1 species